AAGUUUUUUAAAAGCCCUCGAUGUCCGUAGUCUUUUAUUAAUGAAAGCAACUACUUUCGCUUUAGCUAAGAAGAAGCACCCGUUACCUUUAAAUCUACGUAAAGCUAAUGCGAUUGAAUUUAUUAAAGUCAAAGGCGAAACUUGUGACGCACAACUCGCCGUUUUACUUAAUUGCUAUGCAGCUAAUAAUUUUAAGGAUGAGUUUUGCAGUAAGGAAAUUGAGUCUUUUAAGGAGUGUUCCGCGCGUUUGACUGGAGAUAGGAAGAUUAUAAAUCCUUUAAAACAGAAGCUUGAUACUAUUAAAAAAAGGAACAGAGUAGAUACAAGAGGACCUGCA